GGAGGGGUGUGUGAGCGGUUGAAACAGCAGGUCUCGAAAACCUGUAUGCCGAAAGGCAUCGCGGGUUCAAAUCCCGCCCCCUCCG
rnacentral:tRNA from 1 species